CCUACGGGCGGCUGCAGUGGGGAAUAUUGCACAAUGGGCGCAAGCCUGAUGCAGCCAUGCCGCGUGUGUGAAGAAGGCCUUCGGGUUGUAAAGCACUUUCAGCGGGGAGGAAGGCGGUGAGGUUAAUAACCUCAUCGAUUGACGUUACCCGCAGAAGAAGCACCGGCUAACUCCGUGCCAGCAGCCGCGGUAAUACGGAGGGUGCAAGCGUUAAUCGGAAUUACUGGGCGUAAAGCGCACGCAGGCGGUCUGUCAAGUCGGAUGUGAAAUCCCCGGGCUCAACCUGGGAGCUGCAUUCGAAACUGGCAGGCUAGAGUCUUGUAGAGGGGGGUAGAAUUCCAGGUGUAGCGGUGAAAUGCGUAGAGAUCUGGAGGAAUACCGGUGGCGAAGGCGGCCCCCUGGACAAAGACUGACGCUCAGGUGCGAAAGCGUGGGGAGCAAACAGGAUUAGAUACCCGAGUAGUC
rnacentral:rRNA from 1 species